UACGUAGGGGGCCAGCGUUGUCCGGAAUCAUUGGGCGUAAAGCGCGCGUAGGCGGCCAGAUAAGUCCGGUGUGAAAGUCAAAGGCUCAACCUUUGAAUGCCGCUGGAAACUGCCUGGCUUGAGUCCGGAAGGGGCGAGUGGAAUUCCUGGUGUAGCGGUGAAAUGCGCAGAUAUCAGGAGGAACACCAAUGGCGAAGGCAGCUCGCUGGAACGGUACUGAC
rnacentral:rRNA from 1 species